GAUGAACGCUAGCGGCAGGCUUAAUACAUGCAAGUCGUGGGGCAGCAGGUCUGUAGCAAUACAGAUGCUGGCGACCGGCAAACGGGUGCGUAACACGUACGCAACCUUCCCGUUACUGGGGAAUAGCCCAGGGAAACUUGGAUUAAUACCCCAUAUUAUAUUGGUCAGGCAUCUAAUUAAUAUCAAAGCUUCGGCGGUAACGGAUGGGCGUGCGGUUGAUUAGGUAGUUGGCGGGGUAACGGCCCACCAAGCCUACGAUCAAUAGCUGAUGUGGGAGCAUGAUCAGCCACACGGGCACUGAGUCACGGGCCCGACUCCUACGGGGGGCAGCAGUAAGGAAUAUUGGGCAAUGGACGAAAGUCUGACCCAGCCAUGCCGCGUGGAGGAUGAAGGUCCUCUGGAUUGUAAACUUCUUUUUUCUGGGGCGAAAACCGGUUUUUCUAAACCAUUUGACAGUACCAGAAGAAUAAGCACCGGCUAACUCCGUGCCAGCCGCCGCAGUAAAAC
rnacentral:rRNA from 1 species